GAUGUGCCCAGACUUUUGUCCUUCUUCUUGUGGACGGUUGAGGGCACCACAUCCUGCCUGACUUGCCAGGCAAACCUGGCCAUCCUAAACUUAGCCUUGACUAUCUGCUGGAGCUUGCAAAUUCUCAAAGGGAGCUGAGGGUGGCACAAAGCCAGGCCCUGAAAUCGUUAUGUUCCCUCUCACCCCAGGACCUUUGCACACGCUGUGCCCAUUGCCUAGGAUUCUCUGUUCCCUGUUUGUACCUGGAAAGCUCUGCCUCUGGGUCUCUGUCAAGUGUCACCUCCCUCAGAAAGCCCUUCUGGACCCUAUGCAGGAGGUCCUGGGACCAGGUGUCUCCCUUUAACAGGUUUGCCCUGUGACUUGAUACUCUGCAUUUACGGUGAUGACUGCAUCAAUACCCAUGGGGUUGGAGUGUCUGCAUACAGCCCUGUUCCCCAGAGACACGUGAUGCAUUUAUGAGCUCAUCACCAGACCUUACUUGGGCUCAUCCUCGUGAUGAGGUCCUGGGGAAGACAAGGACGGUGAACAUCUGUGCCAUGAUGCAUGAGGCCCCUUCGUGCCUGGCCUGAGAUCCCUUCAGGACCUUCACGACCUCCUGUCGGGGAGAUGUCAUCAGAGGAGAGGCAGAUUUGACAAAUAAACAUCUUGUUUUCUUGUUU